rnacentral:lncRNA from 1 species
UUUUUUAUAAUAACAAAUAGAUAAUUAGUAGGUGUAAAAUUUAUUUUUAAAAAUGCAGUAAUUCGUCUUGAUAUAGGAAUGAUUGACAUAAGAACUAUAUAUAUCAUUAUCUAGGAGCAAGCUAAAAGAUUAAAUAUUGUGUAUAACAUGAACAAUAAUUUUAUACAUGUCUACCUUAAACAAUACUGAGGCAAUAAUAUAGUAUUUAUUUAAUUUAUUCUUCGAUUACCAAUAUCAUAACUUAUAAGAAAAUAAUAAGCUUAAAUAUAACAUAGAUUUAUUUUUUAACUUGAUUUUUUCAAAGGUUGGCAGGUACAAAUAAUCCAAAGGCACUCCGG